rnacentral:lncRNA from 1 species
AAUGGCUAUGAGCCAGAAUCCAUUCCAGGGGCCACUUCUGAGAGUUGCUUCCACCAUGUGAGCUUGGAAUGACAAGGAUUACAGGAUCAAGCGACAAGACAAGGCCUGUUCAGCCAUCAGAAGCUUUCCAGCGACACUGCGAGGACCACCUGGGGAAGGGUGCCAUGUCAGUAUCAAUAGCUCUAGAAGAUUCUGUGGAGCAAGGAGCUCCUUCCUGUCUGUGAAUGUCUGCUCAGGCUACCAAGUAAGUCUAGAGUGCUGGCUGUCCUACAGUCCAAUAUGCUGUCCUGCCCUGGUGGCAUUUCUGUCUGACACUGACACCAGCUAUUGCUACAGUGCUCAUCCGUGCCUAUUGAUUCUGGUUGGCUAGUUGGAAGGACAAGGGGGAUACAGUGGGGAGAUUAUGACUACCCUCUGUGAGCAGGUGGAGAUGGU